UAGAAUUCCAGGUGUAGCGGUGAAAUGCGUAGAGAUCUGGAGGAAUACCGGUGGCGAAGGCGGCCCCCUGGACAAAGACUGACGCUCAGGUGCGAAAGCGUGGGGAGCAAACAGGAUUAGAUACCCUGGUAGUCCACGCCGUAAACGAUGUCGAUUUGGAGGUUGUGCCCUUGAGGCGUGGCUUCCGGAGCUAACGCGUUAAAUCGACCGCCUGGGGAGUACGGCCGCAAGGUUAAAACUCAAAUGAAUUGACGGGGGCCCGCACAAGCGGUGGAGCAUGUGGUUUAAUUCGAUGCAACGCGAAGAACCUUACCUGGUCUUGACAUCCACAGAACUUUCCAGAGAUGGAUUGGUGCCUUCGGGAACUGUGAGACAGGUGCUGCAUGGCUGUCGUCAGCUCGUGUUGUGAAAUGUUGGGUUAAGUCCCGCAACGAGCGCAACCCUUAUCCUUUGUUGCCAGCGGUCCGGCCGGGAACUCAAAGGAGACUGCCAGUGAUAAACUGGAGGAAGGUGGGGAGGACGUCAAGUCUUCAUGGCCCUUACGACCAGGGCUACCCACGUGAUACAAUGGCGCAUACAAAGAGAAGCGACCUCGCGAGAGCAAGCGGACCUCAUAAAGUGCGUCGUAGUCCGGAUUGGAGUCUGCAACUCGACUCCAUGAAGUCGGAAUCGCUAGUAAUCGUAGAUCAGAAUGCUACGGUGAAUACGUUCCC
rnacentral:rRNA from 1 species